rnacentral:rRNA from 1 species
UAGUCCACGCUGUAAACGAUGAUUACUCGCUGUUGGCGAUACACUGUCAGUGGCUGAGCGAAGGCAUUAAGUAAUCCACCUGGGGAGUACGGUCGCAAGAUUGAAACUCAAAGGAAUUGACGGGGGCCCGCACAAGCGGUGGAGCAUGUGGUUUAAUUCGAUGAUACGCGAGGAACCUUACCAGGGCUUAAAUGUUGAUUGACAGAUUUGGAAACAGAUUUUUCUUCGGACAAUUAACAAGGUGCUGCAUGGUUGUCGUCAGCUCGUGCUGUGAAGUGUCGGGUUAAGUCCCAUAACGAGCGCAACCCCUAUUCUUAGUUGCCAGCGAGUAAUGUCGGGGACUCUAAGAAAACUGCCAGCGCAAGCUGAGAGGAAGGUGGGGAUGACGUCAAAUCAUCACGGCCCUUACGUCCUGGGCUACACACGUGCUACAAGGGUGCAUACAGAGGGCAGCUACCUGGUGACAGGAUGCGAAUCUCGAGAGUGC